rnacentral:rRNA from 1 species
AUUGAACGCUGGCGGCAGGCCUAACACAUGCAAGUCGAACGGUAGCACAGAGGAGCUUGCUCCUUGGGUGACGAGUGGCGGACGGGUGAGUAAUGUCUGGGAAACUGCCCGAUGGAGGGGGAUAACUACUGGAAACGGUAGCUAAUACCGCAUAACGUCUUCGGACCAAAGUGGGGGACCUUCGGGCCUCACACCAUCGGAUGUGCCCAGAUGGGAUUAGCUAGUAGGUGGGGUAAUGGCUCACCUAGGCGACGAUCCCUAGCUGGUCUGGGAGGAUGACCAGCCAAACUGGAACUGAGACACGGUCCAGACUCCUACGGGAGGCAGCAGUGGGGAAUAUUGCACAAUGGGCGCAAGCCUGAUGCAGCCAUGCCGCGUGUAUGAAGAAGGCCUUCGGGUUGUAAAGUACUUUCAGCGGGGAGGAAGGCGAUGGAGUUAAUAGCUUCAUCGAUUGACGUUACCCGCAGAAGAAGCACCGGCUAACUCCGUGCCAGCAGCCGCCGUAA